CAUCGAUUCUACUGUCACAAAAUAAAACAGAUUUAAUUUAAAGAACUUGACAGUUCUUCUGUACAUCGCUAACUUAGUACUGUCGUAUAUUUCAAUCGAUCACAAAAUUACAUAUUUAUAAUACUGAAACUUACGCUUGAUAUUCGUUGCUUGACUGUCAGCUACAAUCUCUCCAAAUUGAAACGAUUUUAAUAGAAGAACACAGAAUACGAAUUGUGUUAAUGAGGAUGCCACACACCUCGGACCCAUGAUGAAGGAUGUUUAGAAGUUGAUUCCUUAAAACAGGAUGGAAUUCUUUAGUUUCUGACACACGGCGCUCUGAAUGUGUUUCGCCUUUCUAGACAACUGAAUUAUUUUGACCUGACUGCCUCUUCAGACCUCAUGCAGACAGCUUUGAUAACAAGCACAGUCACCAGCCGAGCUAACCACCAAGUGUAUU